UACGUAGGGAGCAAGCGUUGUCCGGAUUUAUUGGGCGUAAAGAGCUCGUAGGCGGCUUAGCAAGUCGGGUGUGAAACCUCCAGGCUCAACCUGGAGACGCCACUCGAUACUGCUAUGGCUUGAGUUCGGUAGGGGACCAUGGAAUUCCUGGUGUAGCGGUGAAAUGCGCAGAUAUCAGGUGGAACACCGGUGGCGAAGGCGGUGGUCUGGGCCGGAACUGACGCUGUAGAGCGAAAGCGUGGGGAGCGAACAGG
rnacentral:rRNA from 1 species